AUACAGAGGGUGCAAGGCGUUAAUCGGAAUUACUGGGCGUAAAGCGCGCGUAGGUGGUUUGUUAAGUUGGAUGUGAAAGCCCCGGGCUCAACCCUGGGAACUGCAUCCAAAACUGGCAAGCUAGAGUACGGUAGAGGGUGGUGGAAUUUCCUGUGUAGCGGUGAAAUGCGUAGAUAUAGGAAGGAACACCAGUGGCGAAGGCGACCACCUGGACUGAUACUGACACUGAGGUGCGAAAGCGUGGGGAGC
rnacentral:rRNA from 1 species